GGAUAUCUGAAAUCACAAAAAAAACACACGCCUGGUCCUGUGAAGGAGCUAGUGCACAGAACCAGGUCUCCAAAGGAUGUUCUGCCUUCUUUUAAAUCAAAAAAUAUUCUUGCAUGGAUUCCUCAAGGACCCAAGCAUGACAGCUGCUCCCAAGGACUAGAGCACAGCAUAAUACCCUGAGCAACACUGUGGGUGAUCAAGACAGCAUACGUUCUUCAAAAUGUUACCUACAGGCACAGGCUGUGGAACAUCUGGUAAGCAGCUUCCAUUCUGCAUUCUUUGUUGGCCACUAAAACUUGAAGACUUGAGGAAAACCCAUUACCCAACUUGCCCCUAAAAAAUAAAUAUUUUAAGAGAUCCACCAGAAAGUUUGAUGAUAAUUCACUUAUUUAUGGACAUGCUAUUAACUUUAUAGCACAAGCCAGUUCUGCCUCAAAUGUUCUACAUGUGAUGUUGGGAAACCUGUUUUUCAUGGCAGAGGGAUUGGAGGAAGGCUAACCCUUCUCAGAAGGAACACUAACAUCUUUUGGGACCACAGCUCUAUAGUGCAACUCAAUCAAAUGCAGUAAGCAGACCUGAAGACUGGAUUUCUUGAAAAUACUUCCAAAGCUGCUGUCUUCAGAGGGGAGUUUUCUCACAAGUAUCUUCUUACCACCUCCUUUAUUUUUAACUCUCUCUCACUGGAAAAAUCAACAUCCAAACUCUAAAACUACUGCUCUCUGGUCCCUCAGUACAGUUGUCCUCUUCCCCAUGCCCUUGCAAGUAAUGCUUCGUUUCUCUCUUCACUGCUCAUACCUACAUGCAACACCAAGAGAGCUGGGGGUAGGGAGGGCAUGCAGCCCUUCCUGCAGGUCACGUUCACAGGGUCUCCUUUGGAGCUUAGUUUGAUUUUUAUAAGAAAUGGAGGACACUGGAGUGGAAAAAUAUUCCCCAGACAGUUCUAAACCAACCCAACCAAAGGGGACUUGUAAAGGCCCAUACAAGGGUUUUUCUGCAUCCAUAAGCUUUUAGGGCUGGGUCUGGCUUAAAUUUUUGCAACAUCCUGACAAAAACCUAUACAAUAGUAGUUGUUCUGUUUGGGAAAUAUCUGAAUUGCUAACCAUAGUUUUGUUUUGGGAGCCUGAACAGGAUAGGCAAAGUAAUAGCACAGUCCUAAGGAUGAAAAGCAAUGGAGUUAUAUAAUUUCUAGACAAGGCAAAAGGACACUGAAGUAUGAGUCUGAAAAGGUUUGCUUCAAAUUAGCUUUGAAAACACAUGCACAGGUCCUAAGUUGAGCUCUUACAGCUCAUGUGAUUUGUUAUACUGGAACUUCCCACCCCAGCUUUGUUUAAUAUUACCCAGAUGUGCAGUACUGCAGAGACCCAGACAUAAGGCAUGCACAUUUACUC
ensembl:lncRNA